rnacentral:rRNA from 1 species
GGGGAGCCUAUACUGNNCAGUCGACGAGAGACCUUCGGGUCUCUAGUGGCGAACGGGUGAGUAACGCGUGAGCAAUCUGCCCAUAUCUGGGGGAUAACAGUUGGAAACGACUGAUAAUACCGCAUAACAUGGUUUGAAGGCAUCUUCUUUCCAUCAAAGAUUUAUCGGAUAUGGAUGAGCUCGCGUCUGAUUAGCUUGUUGGUGAGGUAACGGCUCACCAAGGCGACGAUCAGUAGCCGACCUGAGAGGGUGAUCGGCCACAUUGGAACUGAGACACGGUCCAAACUCCUACGGGAGGCAGCAGUGGGGAAUAUUGGGCAAUGGAGGAAACUCUGACCCAGCAACGCCGCGUGAAUGAUGAAGGUCUUCGGAUUGUAAAGUUCUUUUCUAAGGGAAGAAGAAAGUGACGGUACCUUAGGAAUAAGCCUCGGCUAACUACGUGCCAGCAGCCGCGGUAAUACGUGGGAGGCAAGCGUUAUCCGGAAUGACUGGGCGUAAAGGGUGCGUAGGUGGUUUGACAAGUUGGUAGCGUAACUCCGAGGCUUAACCUCGGCACUACUACCAAAACUGUUGGACUCGAGUGCAGGAGGGGCAAAUGGAAUUCCUAGUGUAGCGGUGGAAUGCGUAGAUAUUAGGAGGAACACCAGUGGCGAAAGCGAUUUGCUGGACUGUAACUGACACUGAGGCACGAAAGCGUGGGGAGCAAACAGGAUUAGAUACCCUGGUAGUCCACGCUGUAAACGAUGAAUA